GGAGGUAUAGUUCAAGUGAUAGAGUACAUGCUUAGCACACACAAGGUCCUGGGUUCAACCCCCAGUACCUCUA
rfam:Camelus ferus unplaced genomic scaffold scaffold240, whole genome shotgun sequence.